rnacentral:lncRNA from 1 species
AUUAAUCACUGCCAUUUGAAUUUUAAUAUUUAUUUUGUUUUAUCAGGGUAAUUUCUAGAAGUGUGUGUCUACUCUUCAUGGAGGACACAGGCUUCUGCAUGGAGUUUUAAAAUGUGUUGUGAUCACCUCAUUGUGACCUGAGCUGCUGGGCUGCAUCGGUAAAUGCCUUAAUAUGCCAUUGAGUGUUUUAUAUCUGCAUUGGAACAUGUUUUAAAAUACUUUUUCUGUCUGUAGCAACGGAAUGUUCACCUUUGUCUUCAUAUGUCAAUGAGCUGUGGGACAGUUGAGCAUACUGAAAAGUAGGCCUAUAUUUUUUAGCCAUGUUUGAGUUGACUAUGAUAUGCUGUUUAAUGAGGCUGGCAACUAACAUGAUUGUUUAUUUCCCAAAAGGGACCAGGCCAGCCACUGUUUUCUUGUGAUUAAUGUGCAUUUUUUUAUUGUUUUGUUGGUUUGUUUGUGUGAUGUGAUUUUGCUUCUGGGCCUACCACCCAUGUGCCCUACUGGUAGUAGCAUUGUUCCUUAAACUGGUGUUAUCCGUGCUGGUGGGUCUCCUCCCUAACUAUGUCUUUUGCUUAGGCUAUCCCUGUACAAGGCCGGAUCCACACUGAUGCUUUGCCCCUUCUUACCAAGGGACCACAUUGUUAGAGACAUUGGUUUGGGGUGUCUUUAUAACCAUAACACGAUUUUUUUGUCGUGGUAUCUGAAGAUCUUGAAUGAGUGGUGCUUGCUGUGUUGCAUGCUUCUUCUGGUGCUGGGUUGCUGUCUCCUGUUUCUUUUUGUCUCACCAGGGUCCACCUGAGCAGGGGUUUCGCAUUGGCUGAUCCGACCUUCCUAGACUGAGGAGAAUCCACCAAUUGUAUAGCAGUAUUUAAGAGCCAUUUUAAUAACUUUUCCACACUUUUUGUAUUAAAUUGUAAUAAAUUUGAAAUACAUUUAUAUACCUGCCUCUUGUCAACUGUCCCUUUGCGGGGAAAAUAUAGAGUUAGCUACACUACAUUAAGGGAAGACUUGUGGGUCCUCCUGCCCAUCAUCAGGGGGUGGCGUAGUCAAACCAUAAAGAUUUACUCCUUGACGGGUACCACACCCUUAUGGCCAAAGGCCUAAGCUACAUACCCAACUUACCUGCAGGGCCUUGUCCCGGGGUAGAGCUGGAGGCUUGGAAUCACAAAAGAUUCCUUUAAAGGGAUACGGCUAAGAACCUAGCAUGUUCUUUACGAAGUCUUGCCUGUCACACAGGGGCUACCGCUAGCUUUUGCAAAAACUUGCCGAAAGAGCUGUCCCAACAGUUCUCUAGUAGCAACACCCUGUUCUAGAUAGGUAUCAGAGGAUACCUGGGUGGAGUGGCACUCAAGAAAGGGCAAAAGCAGCUGUGCCUCACCAUAUAGGAUUUUAGAAAGAACGCAGAGUACUAGCGUGGGAACUUACCACAGUGUGGAUUUCAGAAAGUGCGCAAAGACUUCACGUGCACACUUACCAUAGCAUGGAUUUACAAAUACUGUUCUAAGGAGGGGCUCUCGUGGCACUCUGA